rnacentral:rRNA from 1 species
UACGAAGGGGGCUAGCGUUGCUCGGAAUCACUGGGCGUAAAGGGUGCGUAGGCGGGUCUUUAAGUCAGGGGUGAAAUCCUGGAGCUCAACUCCAGAACUGCCUUUGAUACUGAAGAUCUUGAGUUCGGGAGAGGUGAGUGGAACUGCGAGUGUAGAGGUGAAAUUCGUAGAUAUUCGCAAGAACACCAGUGGCGAAGGCGGCUCACUGGCCCGAUACUGACGCUGAGACUCGAAAGCGUGGGGAGCAAACAGG